rnacentral:rRNA from 1 species
UGCCUACGGGAGGCAGCAGUGAGGAAUAUUGGUCAAUGGUCGGGAGACUGAACCAGCCAAGCCGCGUGAGGGAUGAAGGUACAGAGUAUCGUAAACCUCUUUUGUCAGGGAACAAAGGCGGGGACGUGUCCCCGGAUGAGUGUACCUGAAGAAAAAGCAUCGGCUAACUACGUGCCAGCAGCCGCGGUAAUACGUAGGGGGCAGGCGUUAUCCGGAAUUACUGGGUGUAAAGGGAGCGUAGACGGCUGUGCAAGUCUGGAGUGAAAGGCGGGGGCCCAACCCCCGGACUGCUCUGGAAACUGUAU